rnacentral:rRNA from 1 species
GACGAACGCUGGCGGCGUGCCUAAUACAUGCAAGUAGAACGCACAGUUUAUACCGUAGCUUGCUACACCAUAGACUGUGAGUUGCGAACGGGUGAGUAACGCGUAGGUAACCUGCCUGGUAGCGGGGGAUAACUAUUGGAAACGAUAGCUAAUACCGCAUAAUAUUAAUUAUUGCAUGAUAAUUAAUUGAAAGGUGCAAUUGCACCACUACCAGAUGGACCUGCGUUGUAUUAGCUAGUAGGUGGGGUAACGGCUCACCUAGGCGACGAUACAUAGCCGACCUGGGGAGGUGAUCGGCCAAACUGGGACUGGGACACGGCCCAGAAUCCUACGGGAGGCAGCAGGAGGGAAUCUUCGGCAAUGGACGAAAGUCUGACCGAGCAACGCCGCGGGGGUGAAGAAGGUUUUCGGAUCGUAAAGCUCUGUUGUAAGAGAAGAAAGGGUGUGAGAGUGGAAAGUUCACACUGUGACGGUAUCUUACCAGAAAGGGACGGCUAACUACGUG